rnacentral:rRNA from 1 species
GACGUAGGGCGCGAGCGUUGUCCGGAUUUAUUGGGCGUAAAGAGCUCGUAGGCGGCUUGUCGCGUCGGCUGUGAAAACCGCGGCUCAACUGUGGGCGGGCAGCUGAUACGGGCAGGCUAGAAUUCGGUAGGGGAGACUGGAAUUCCUGGUGUAGCGGUGAAAUGCGCAGAUAUCAGGAGGAACACCGAUGGCGAAGGCAGGUCUCUGGGCCACUACUGACGCUGAGAAGCGAAAGCAUGGGGAGCGAACAGG